GUGUGUAUAGUGUAAAAACACACUAACUUUUCAUGUUAGAGAUAUAUAAAAAUAUUACACACA
rnacentral:tRNA from 1 species